rnacentral:rRNA from 1 species
UAGAGAAUGGCAUCAUUUUUUAAUUAAAGGUUACGGCAUAAGAUGAGUAUGCGUCCCAUUAGCUAGUUGGUAGGGUAACGGCUUACCAAGGCUACGAUGGGUAGGGGUCCUGAGAGGGAGAUCCCCCACACUGGUACUGAGACACGGACCAGACUCCUACGGGAGGCAGCAGUGAGGAAUAUUGGACAAUGGGCGGAAGCCUGAUCCAGCCAUGCCGCGUGCAGGAAGACGGCCCUAUGGGUUGUAAACUGCUUUUAAACGGGAAGAAUAAGACCUACGUGUAGGUUGAUGACGGUACCGUAAGAAUAAGGACCGGCUAACUCCGUGCCAGCAGCCGCGGUAAUACGGAGGGUCCGAGCGUUAUCCGGAAUUAUUGGGUUUAAAGGGUCCGUAGGCGGGCUAUUAAGUCAGGGGUGAAAGUUUGCAGCUCAACUGUAAAAUUGCCUUUGAUACUGGUAGUCUUGAGUUGUAUUGAAGUGGCUGGAAUAUGUAGUGUAGCGGUGAAAUGCAUAGAUAUUACAUAGAACACCGAUUGCGAAGGCAGGUCACUAAGUACACACUGACGCUGAUGGACGAAAGCGUGGGGAGCGAACAGGAUUAGAUACCCUGGUAGUCCACGCCGUAAACGAUGGAUACUAGCUGUCC